rnacentral:rRNA from 1 species
GACGUAGGGGGCCAGCGUUGUUCGGAAUUACUGGGUGUAAAGGGUUCGUAGGCGGUGUGGCAAGUCGGGAGUGAAAUCUCUGGGCUCAACUCAGAGACUGCUUCCGAAACUGCUGUGCUGGAGUGUGGGAGAGGCGCGUGGAAUUGCAGGUGUAGCGGUGAAAUGCGUAGAUAUCGGGAGGAACACCAGUGGCGAAGGCGACUACCUGGCCUGUUUCUUGACGCUGAGGCGCGAAAGCUAGGGGAGCAAACGGG